rnacentral:rRNA from 1 species
UACGAAGGGUGCAAGCGUUAAUCGGAAUUACUGGGCGUAAAGGGUGCGUAGGCGGUUCGUUAAGUCUGUCGUGAAAUCCCCGGGCUCAACCUGGGAAUGGCGAUGGAUACUGGCGAGCUAGAGUGUGUCAGAGGAUGGUGGAAUUCCCGGUGUAGCGGUGAAAUGCGCAGAGAUCGGGAGGAACAUCAGUGGCGAAGGCGGCCAUCUGGGACAACACUGACGCUGAGGCACGAAAGCGUGGGGAGCAAACAGG